rnacentral:tRNA from 1 species
GUAUAGCUCAGUUGGUAGAGUGCUUGCCUAGCAUGCACAAGUGCCUGGGUUCAAUUCCCAGCAC